rnacentral:lncRNA from 1 species
CCUCUCUGGAAAAAUCUCUAUAAACCUAAUCUGGUACGGCAAAUUCAAGCCUUCCCAGCGGGCUAUCGUUUCAGAUUUCAUUACCUCCCUUUCUUCUUCUUCCCUGUCUCAGGACCAGCCUUCCGUUGCCACCUGGUGGAAAACCACAGAGAAGUACUACCACCUCACCUCCAAGAACCCAUCUUCACUCAAGCUCUCCUUGGGCGAACAAAUACUCGAUGAGACCUACUCGCUCGGGAAGUCACUCACAGGGAAGCAAAUCGUUCAGUUGGCUUCCAAGGGUGAACAAAUGAACGCCAUUAACGUGGUUUUGACCUCCUCUGAUGUGGCCGUGGAAGGGUUCUGCUCCAGCCGCUGCGGGACUCAUGGAUCUUCUUCGAGUUCCAAGAAUGUUCAAGUCAAGGGCAAGAACUACAAGUUUGCAUACGUCUGGGUUGGGAACUCUGAGACUCAGUGCCCUGGCCAAUGCGCCUGGCCCUUCCACCAGCCCAUCUACGGACCCCAGAGCCCACCGCUAGUCGCACCGAACAACGAUGUGGGUCUGGAUGGCAUAGUCAUAAACUUGGCUAGCCUCUUGGCUGGAACUGCGACCAACCCUUUUGGAAAUGGCUACUUCCAGGGUCCGGCGGAGGCGCCCCUAGAAGCUGCAUCGGCUUGCCCUGGGGUUUACGGGAAGGGGGCAUACCCUGGGUAUGCUGGGGAUUUGUUGGUGGAUUCAGUGACUGGUGCUAGCUAUAAUGCCCAUGGUGCCAACGGGAGGAAGUACUUGCUUCCUGCCUUGUAUGAUCCUUCUACAUCCUCGUGUUCUACUCUGGUCUGAAGCAGAUUAGUGUCUUGACGACAGAAACUUCGUAGAAUUUACAGGCCUUAGAAAAAUCCAGAGAGAUACUGUUAUUCAUUCAUUUAUUUGUUCUUCCCGUGGUAGUUUCAAUAAUAUCAAAGCAAAUUGGUUUGGUUUGCUUUUUUCACUUGAAUGCAUCUUUCCAAAUUACAAUGCCUCAACAUGAAUGAAUGAGGUGAUUUGUUGCAGUGUUGAGGAUAUUCCCAGUGAAAUGGGUUCUACUCAUUGAGAAUUACUUUAAUUACUCUUAUGUCCUUCCUUCUCAGUGGUUGUACCUGUGCCAGCGCUUAAAGCCGUGUGCAGUAUGUAUAAAGGCGUGGCAUAUGGAAUUUUAUCUCUUAACAGGGUAUUGGAUCACAAGCACCCCCAACACAAUCACGGGAUUGAGGCGAAAUAGACAUAAUAGCAUCCUCCCACGUAGAAAUUGUUGACUUUGAUCCUCAAACAAGAAAUUGUUAAUACCUAAAUAUAAGAUUCUAACAAUUUUAAACGGAUUUACAUAAUUAAGAAAAAUUUAUACAUAAUUAAAAAACGUUUAGUCACGUCUAAAAUUUCCCGUUGGAUAGAAUUAUUAUUUUAUCAAGAGCUUUCAUACAAUACCAAUGCCAUUUAAUGUGCCGAUAAUAAUAACAUUAUCUUAGCAAUGUAUAAUAACAUUUGGCACUUUCAUCUUUACGUUUGCCUUAAUGAGUAAAUUACCAAUUAAAAAUAUUGCUAAGAAGCUCUAAACGGCAUUUUGCAUUGGAGAUGCUCUAAAACAUGUGUUAAUCACACAUUUCUAAGUCUCUUAACUCUGGAUCUACUUCAUUAAAUCAGGAAUUGUGAGGUUACCAUUAAUAGUGAAAAAUGAGACACACACUUCCCAAUUAUCUUACUAUUAUAACCUCGGAUUCUCCGCCGGCUUGGCUGAAUCUAAGUACUGGGUGUGAGGGUUUAUAAGUGGAUAUACUCAAGGCAACUAAGCCUUUUUUUUUUUUUUUUUUAUGAAGUGAGAUCUUAUACUUUGAAAAGCAUUGGAAGAUCAACUAAAUCUAUUUUUCUACGGAAGAAGUGAGAUCUUAUAUAUAUAUAUAUAUAUAUAUAUAUAUUCUUGUUUUGUAUAAGUGGAUAAUUUAUUUUCCUAAGAUAAUUUAUUCCUAAGAAAAUCUUACUUCAAGUAUUUUAUGGAAUCUAAAAAUUUAAAAUUUUUAUUUUUAUUUAUAAUCUAAAUGUUAAAUAAAAUUUUAAUAUUAAUUUUAUAAUUUUAUACAAAUUUAUGAUUUCUCAUUUUAGUAAGGGAAAUUUUUUUUAAAAUUAUAUAAAUAUGAAUUUUUCUUCAUUAUUUAGAAGCCGUUAAUGUUCUUUUGACUCACACGCAUAUAAUAUCUAUCCGAUUAAAAUUGCACCAUUAAUAUGUUUGUAAUAUCUCAUGUUAAUGUUCUUUUGACUCAAACGCAUAUAAUAUCUAUCCGAUUGAAAUAGCACCAUGAAUAUGUUUGUAAUAUCUCAUAUUGAUCGGGGAAAAUAGAAGAUAUUUUUUUAUGCAAACCUCCACAACCCGCUUAAAGAACGAAGAAUCGAAACCAUUUAAUGUACGCGUCCGGACAGAUAGUAAUGGAGCAGAGCCAUUUCCAUUUCUCUUUCUUCAGGUAUGCACUAACCAGGAAGCACCCAACUUUCUCCCUUCCCAUUUUCCUUGUUGGAGUCAGCUGUCUUCAGUGUCCGUAUCUAGUUUUUGUUCCGCUAUCACACUCCUUUUUGUUCCGCUAUCACACUCCAUCUAGUUAUGUGCCAUAAUUCCCUUUGUCAUAUUCUGACGGAAAAACCAAUUAAAUCCUUAAUCAUCAAGCUAAAACAUUUGUUCUUUGAAACUACAAAUUUAGGCUCUAUGUGGACCCCGCAUUUCGGCUUAAUGCGUUUCCCACUCGAUGACGAAACUCGAUUUUUAUUUGAAAAAAAUUGAUUUUUAUUGAUUAAGAAAAAUGACUUGGAGUCGUCACUUAUUUUUGUUUUAUUUUUAAAGGGUAAACAAAAUAAGAAAGAAAAACCCUAAGUGUAACUCCUUAUUUUGGAAAAGGUGGUCUGUGAAAAACCGGAUCGGGUUCGGGGGUUAGGUUACUUAUCGGGAAGGUACGGUAAAGACCAUAGCACCCCUCUAAGUCCCUAAAAACGGGUCUCUACUAAUAAAAUGAAGCUAACAUGGCAACCAAUGAGAAAGUCAAUGAAUACUCAAAUCGAUCAUGCACGUAUGAGUAUCAGAAUAUGCAAUAGAGGAUAACCGAAGUGAAAGUGGAUGCGUACCUGAUCAGCAAACGGCAACGCGCUGAAAGAACCCUUUUCCAGUAAGGCUCUGUUUAGCUGUCAAUGCCUUCAAUCCUCCUCCAAUGUCGACAAAGCCAACCAGCUUACCCUUCUGAACAGCACCCCCUCCUCCUGCAGCUCCAAUGAACCCCUCCGAAGCUCCCUUCUCCUCUCCAGCUCAAGAGAUCACUCUCUCAGCCAAAAGAUUUCUCCUCUGCCCCAAAAACUGCAAAACCCCCACAACCUUCCAAAAGCAACCUCACUUUCUCAGAAUCCUUCCUCCCUUCCUGCCUCAAAAUGACUAAACAAAAGCUCUCCCCUCAAAAGAUCUCUGCAGCCUCCAACUUCUCUCUCCCCUCGUUUUUCCCCUCAACCCUCCGUGUCAAGAUAUCUUCACCUCUUUUACUAAAAGCCCAUCUCUGAAAAGCAUCUCCCUCUCUGAAAAAAAAUCCCCAACGGCAGCCCAGACCCCUUCUCCUGCAGCUGGCCUGCUGCUCCUCAACAGAAACGUACCUCCUCUCUAACGGCCAGAAUAUCUCCAUGCCACGUGUCAAACUCUCACUCGCUCCUCAAUUCCACCAUCUGUUUCUAUGACCACCAACCACGAGGCGACACGUGGCUCCUUGAGAGCCCUCCACCUGCAAAGAAUUAUAACCUGUAGAGAUGCAAAGGAAUGAGCCCCAAAUGGGGGUCUACACUCUAAUAUUAAAAUUUAUUUUUAAAAUAAAAAAAUAGAUACUAUAUCUAUUAAUGUUUAUUACUUAUUUUUAAGAGUUUUGGGUCAAAAUGGUCAUUUUAAAAAAAAAAAAUUGUAACAUCUAACCACUCUUUGAAACUUAUGUUCAAAUUAGGCUCUUUGGUACCACGUAGACGCCGUCUUCAUUAAAAAAUAUUUUUUUCAUCAUUUUAGUUAAAGUCGCAGUUGAUAAUCGCGAUUUCAUUUUUGAACUAAAGUCGCAGUUGGCAAUUGUGGCUUCAUUUUUAAACUAAAGUCGCAGUUGACAAUUGCAGUUUUAUUUUUGAAAAAACUGUAGUUGUCAACUGAGACUUUAGUUAAUUUUUUUUUAAAAUUUAAAAUUUAAUUAAAAAUUAUUAAAUUACAAAUUUAUGAUUGAAAAAUUAAAAUAUACUUAAAUAAUAAAUUAUUUAUAUUUAAAUUUAAAAAUCUAGUAUUACUUCAGCAAACAUAAAUUGAUAAAUAGAAUAUAUUAUAAAUGAAUAUUUUAUUUAUUAAUAAAUUAAUAAUCUUAAAAUAAUAAACUUGUAUAACAUAUAAAUAAUAUAUAAAAUUGUAUAAUUUAUUAAUUUAAGAUAUUUAAUUUGUUGUUUUUUAAAAUAUUAAUUUAUUUGUAUUAUGAUAAAUUUAUCUUUAUCGAAAUAAUUGUAUACUUUUAAGCUGCAAUUGAUAACUAAGAUUUCAAUUAUAAUUUUUUUUACUUUCAAAUUUAAUUAAAAACUAUUAAAUUACAAUUUAUGAUUGAAAUUUAAAAAAUAUACUUAAAUAAUAAAUUAUUUAUAUUUAAACUUAAAUUAUUUAUAAGAACAUGUUCAUAUUUAAAUAUAAAUAAUUUAUUAUUUAAGUAUAUUUUUUAAAUUUCAAUUAAUUUUUAAUUAAAUUUGAAAGUAAAAAAAAAAAAUUAUAAUUGAAAUCUCAAUUAUCAAUUGCGGGUUAAAAGUAUAUUAUUAUUUUGAUAAAGAUAAAUUUAUCAUAAUACAAAUAAAUUAAUAUCUUAAAAAACAAAAAAUUAAAUAUCUUAAAUUAAUAAAUUAUAUAAUUUUAUAUAUUAUUUAUAUGUUAUAUAAGUUUAUUAUUUUAAGAUUAUUAAUUUAUUAAUAAAUAAAAAUAUUUAUUUGUAAUAUAUUUUAUUUAUCAAUUUAUAUUUAUUAAAGUAAUACUAGAUUUUUAAAUUUAAAUAUAAAUAAUUUAUUAUUUAAGUAUAUUUUUAAAUUUUAAUCAUAAAUUAUAAUUUAAUAAUUUUUAAUUAAAUUUUAAAUUUUUUUAAAAAAUUAACUAACAGUUAACAAUUACGACUUCAAUUAAAAUGACGAAAUUUUUUUUUAAUAAUAUAAUAUUUAGGUGUUACCAAAAAAAAUCAAUUUGAACAUCAUAAGUCUCAAAGUGGCGGAUGUUACCAUUUUUUUUUUUUAAGGUUCAUUUUGACCCAAAACUCUAUUUUUAAAAUCUGGUUUUCAAAACAAUCAUGGAGGAUGAUGAGUUGUUCUCCAAAGACGUUCAAAUAAAUGUAUUUAUAAUUUAGAAAAUGGUAAAAAAAAAUAACAAAAUGGAAGAAAAAUAAUAAAGAAAAGAAAAGUUUGACGAUGAUAAAAAGUCACCCCUAGGCUCUUAAUGUCCUUAGCUGUAAACGUAGGGUUUUUGAUUUUUCACAGCGAAAGACAGAUCCGCACUCAACCAGAUUAAUUUCGAACGCGCUAUUGAGUAUUGAGCUGGCAUUUGCUUCGCUUUUCGCCUUUUCCCUUCCUUCUCGGCACUUUCAUUCAUACCCUCCCCCUCGCUCCUCUCACGCUGUUGGUCACACUCUCCCCACUGCCUAUUUUACUAUAUAUAUGAAACCCCCAAUUCAUCUUCUCCUCACUCCAAAGUUCCAAACCCCCACCAAAGCCAUCUAUCUCUACAGCUUAGCUUCACUGCACUCUAAAGUCCUAACUACCAUGGCAUCUUUCGUUCCUACUCAAUGCCUUUUACAACUCCUCUUUGUGGCUUCUCUGUUUCCAUUCAUCUCAGCAGCCAGGAGACUUGCUCAAGACCAGCAACCUCUGCUUCUUCAAUACCACAAUGGCCCUCUUCUUUCCGGAAAAAUCUCCAUUAAUCUCAUCUGGUACGGAAAGUUCAAGCCUUCCCAACGCGCCAUUGUUUCUGAUUUCAUUACCUCCCUCUCUUCCUCCAAAACCACCCCCCACCAACCCUCUGUUGCGGCGUGGUGGAAUACCAUCGACAAAUACUACCUCCUCAUUAAGUCCAAGAAAUCCACCUCCCUCGGUCUCUCCCUAGGCACCCAAAUCCUCGACGAGAACUACUCUUUGGGUAAAUCACUGACCAGUCGAAAUCUCAAACAGUUGGCAGCAAAGGGGCAGCAGAGCAACGCCAUUAACGUAGUCUUGACAUCUUCUGAUGUAGCCGUUGAAGGGUUCUGCUCCAGCAGGUGCGGAACACAUGGGUCUUCUCCCAGCUCCAAGACUGCUAAGGUUAAUGGCAAGAUCUCCAAGUUCGCAUACAUCUGGGUGGGUAACUCCGAGACUCAGUGC